rnacentral:rRNA from 1 species
GCAAGAAUAUGAAGGGCAACAGGUGGAUGCCUUGGCGUCGGAAGGCGAUGAAAGACGUGAGAGGCUGCGAUAAGCCCCGGCGAGGAGCCUACUAUCCUUCGACCCGGGGAUCUCUGAAUGGGGAAACCCGGCGGGAGUAAUGUCCCGUCAUACAGGUCUGAAUAAAAUAGGGCCAUGUAAGCGAACGCGGGGAAGUGAAACAUCUCAGUACCCGCAGGAGAAGAAAUCAAACGAGACUCCCAAAGUAGUGGCGAGCGAAAUGGGAUGAGCCUAAACCGUAGUGUUACGACAUUACGGGGUUGUAGGGCGGCUAACAUUGAUCUGCGAGUAGGCAUGAGAAGCAGCUGGAAAGCUGCGCCACAGAGGGUGAAAGCCCCGUAUCUUAAACCGAACAACAGCAAAAGCCGUACCUGAGUACCGCGGGGCACGUGAAACCCCGUGGGAAUCUGGGAGGACCAUCUUCCAAGGCUAAGUACUCUCCGACGACCGAUAGUGAACUAGUACCGUAAGGGAAAGGUGAAAAGUACCCCAUCAAGGGGAGUUAAAAGACCUGAAACCUGUUGCCUACAAGCUGUGGGAGCACCCUAGUGGUGUGACCGCGUGCCUUUUGCAUAAUGAGUCAGCGAGUUACUUUGUCCAGCAAGGUUAAGCGAGAUGCGGAGCCGUAGCGAAAGCGAGUCUUAAUAGGGCGAUUAGUUGGGCAGAGUAGACCCGAAACCGGGUGAGCUAUCCAUGAGCAGGUUGAAGCACGGGUAAAACCGUGUGGAGGACCGAACCGUCAACGGCUGAAAACGUUCCGGAUGACUUGUGGAUAGGGGUGAAAGGCCAAUCAAACCCGGUGAUAGCUGGUUCUCCCCGAAAUAUAUUGAGGUAUAGCCUCAGGGAUUGUCUUUUGGAGGUAGAGCACUGACAGGGCUAGGGGUCCCACCAGAUUACCAAACCCUAUCAAACUCCGAAUGCCAGUAAGAUUUACCCUGGGAGUCAGACUGCGGGUGCGAAGAUCCGUAGUCGAAAGGGAAACAGCCCAGACCAACAGCUAAGGUCUCCAAAUCCAUGCUCAGUGUUGAAGGUGGUAGGGUUACAUAGACAGCCAGGAAGUUGGCUUAGAAGCAGCCAUCUUUUAAAGAAAGCGUAAUAGCUCACUGGUCUAGUGACCCCGCGCCGAAAAUGUAACGGGGCUAAGCAUGGUACCGAAGCUUUGGGUGAAACAAUAGUUUCGCGGUAGGGGAGCGUUCUGUACGGGGUGAAGGGGUGGCGGAAGCCUACCUGGACUGUACAGAAGUGAUUAUGCUGACAUAAGUAACGAUAAAACGGGUGAAAAACCCGUUCGCCGUAAACCCAAGGAUUCCUGGGUCAAGGUAAUCUUCCCAGGGUUAGUCGGCCCCUAAGGCGAGGCAGAAAUGCGUAGUCGAUGGGAAACGGAUUAAUAUUUCCGUACUUGCAUACAGUGCGAUGGAAGAACGCAGAAGGAUAGGCCGGGUCACCUAUUGGACAUGGUGGUCUGAUCCCCGUAGGCGAAAAAGAUUAAUACCCUUUUUAUCACGCCGAGAGGGUGAAAUAGCGCAAGCGAAAGAGCUGAUUCCAGACUGCCAAGAAAAGCUCCUAAGCAAUAGCUGUAUGUGAACCGUACCGAAAACCAACACAGGUGGGUGGGUGUAAAUGCACCAAGGCGCUCGAGAGAACUCUGGUUAAGGAACUCGGCAAAAUAACCCCGUAACUUCGGGAGAAGGGGUGCUCCUUUUUGUGAAGCAUUUACUGCAUAAGCAUAAAGGAGCCGCAGAGCAAUGGCGGUGGCGACUGUUUACUAAAAACAUAGGUCUGUGCGAAGUCGUAAGACGAUGUAUACGGACUGACGCCUGCCCGGUGCUGGAAGGUUAAAAGGAGAGGUCAGCGCAAGCAAAGCUUCGAAUUGAAGCCCCAGUAAACGGCGGCCGUAACUAUAACGGUCCUAAGGUAGCGAAAUUCCUUGUCGGGUAAGUUCCGACCUGCACGAAUGGCGUAACGAUCUCCGCACUGUCUCAACCAGAGACUCGGUGAAAUUGAAGUGGCGGUGAAAAUGCCGUCUACCCGCAGCGUGACGGAAAGACCCUGUGCACCUUUACUAUAGCUUGACAUUGGGUUUUGGGCCAUCAUGUGUAGGAUAGGUGGGAGGCUGUGAACUCUGUACGCCAGUAUGGAAGGAGCCAACCUUGAAAUACCACCCUUGCUGGUUUAAGACUCUAAUCCCUACCUGUGAUCCAGGAGGGAGACAUUGUCUGGUGGGUAGUUUGACUGGGGCGGUCGCCUCCCAAAUAAUAACGGAGGCACGCAAAGGUUCCCUCAGGCUGAUUGGAAACCAGCCGCCGAGUGCAAACGCAUAAGGGAGCUUGACUGCAAGAGUGACAGCUCGAGCAGGUACGAAAGUAGGUGUUAGUGAUCCGGUGGUCCCGAAUGGAAGGGCCAUCGCUCAUUGGAUAAAAGGUACGCCGGGGAUAACAGGCUGAUCGCAUCCAAGAGUCCAUAUCGACGAUGCGGUUUGGCACCUCGAUGUCGGCUCAUCACAUCCUGGGGCUGAAGCAGGUCCCAAGGGUACGGCUGUUCGCCGUUUAAAGUGGUACGCGAGCUGGGUUUAAAACGUCGUGAGACAGUUUGGUCCCUAUCUGCUGUGGGCGUAAGAUAUUUGAGAGGGCCUGUUCCUAGUACGAGAGGACCGGGAUGGACGAACCUCUGGUGAGCCUGUUGUCGCGCCAGCGGCACCGCAGGGUAGCUACGUUCGGAAGGGAUAAACGCUGAAAGCAUCUAAGCGUGAAGCCUGCCUCAAGAUAAGAUAUCUCCCCGUAAGGGUAAGACCCCUGGUAGACCACCAGGUUGAUAGGCUGGGAGUGUAAGCGCAGCAAUGGGUUCAGCUUACCAGUACUAAUAGGUCGAAAUCUUGUUCUUU